UACGAAGGGGGCUAGCGUUGUUCGGAAUUACUGGGCGUAAAGCGCGCGCAGGCGGUCUUCCAAGUCAGUGGUGAAAGCCUGGAGCUCAACUCCAGAACCGCCAUUGAAACUGUUAGACUUGAGUACGAGAGAGGUGAGUGGAAUUCCCAGUGUAGAGGUGAAAUUCGUAGAUAUUGGGAAGAACACCAGUGGCGAAGGCGGCUCACUGGCUCGUAACUGACGCUCAGGCGCGACAGCGUGGGGAUCAAACAGG
rnacentral:rRNA from 1 species